GACGAACGCUGGCGGCGUGCCUAAUACAUGCAAGUCGAGCGAAGUUUUUCUGGUGCUUGCACUAGAAAAACUUAGCGGCGAACGGGUGAGUAACACGUAAAGAACCUGCCUCAUAGACUGGGACAACUAUUGGAAACGAUAGCUAAUACCGGAUAACAGUAUUUCUCGCAUGAGAGAUAUUUAAAAGUUGGUUAUGCUAACACUAUGAGAUGGUUUUGCGGUGCAUUAGCUAGUUGGUGGGGUAAAGGCCUACCAAGGCGACGAUGCAUAGCCGACCUGAGAGGGUGAUCGGCCACACUGGGACUGAGACACGGCCCAGACUCCUACGGGAGGCAGCAGUAGGGAAUCUUCCGCAAUGGGCGAAAGCCUGACGGAGCAACGCCGCGUGAGUGAAGAAGGAUUUCGGUUCGUAAAGCUCUGUUGUUAGGGAAGAAUGGAUAUGUAGUAACUAUACAUGUAAG
rnacentral:rRNA from 1 species